rnacentral:rRNA from 1 species
GACGAACGCUGGCGGCGUGCUUAACACAUGCAAGUCGAGCGGUAAGGCCCUUUCGGGGGUACACGAGCGGCGAACGGGUGAGUAACACGUGGGUGACCUGCCCUCAGCUCUGGGAUAAGCCUGGGAAACCGGGUCUAAUACUGGAUAUGACUCCAUGACGCAUGUUGUGGGGUGGAAAGCCUUGUGCGGCUGAGGAUGGGCCCGCGGCCUAUCAGCUUGUUGGUGGGGUGAGGCCUACCAAGGCGACGACGGGUAGCCGGCCUGAGAGGGCGGCCGGCCACACUGGGACUGAGACACGGCCCAGACUCCUACGGGAGGCAGCAGUGGGGAAUCUUGCGCAAUGGGCGAAAGCCUGACGCAGCGACGCCGCGUGAGGGAUGACGGCCUGG